rfam:Lachnoclostridium sp. An196 An196_contig_30, whole genome shotgun sequence.
UCUGGUGGUGAUGCGUUUAGGGGACACACCCGUACUCAUCCCGAACACGAUGGUUAAGACCUAAACGGCCGAUGGUACUAUGCUGGAGACGGCAUGGGAGAGCAGGUGGCUGCCAGAA